rnacentral:piRNA from 1 species
CACAAUGUUUACAGCCCUGCCCUGAA